CGUUAUACUACCCAGGGCCCUCACAGCCGCUGCUCACAUUGGAUCAACACACCGCCGCUCUACCAUUUCCGAUAGCCCUCACCGCCGACAGCCCUCACCACCGCCGCCGUUAGCCCCUCCUUUCCUCACCGCCGCUGCUGUGCAGAUCGAAGAACACCGUUGAAAUUGGGGUUAUGAUUAUGGGUGCUUCGAUGGAUUUGACGGAAAGACUUGUGUUUCAAGCCUCAAACUGUUUGUUAAUCACUUGUGUUUCCCUUUUGUUUGAUAUAUGGUCAUUGAAAAUUAAAGACUCUCUUGCUCUAGUACACAAACAGUUUGAGGCCGUCAUGCUUGGAUACAACUGCCAUAUGCACCCGUGAACCCACAUCCUAAUUCCUCAUUUUUGCUUGGCAGGUGUCUUAAUGAUAAUCAGUUAACUGGGAAAAUCCCAAAGGAGCUCACUGGUAUUUCCAGCUUGAAAGUUGUAGAUGUCUCAAACAACUUGUGUGGAACAAUUCCUACUACAGGUCCAUUUGAGCACAUCCCAUUAAACAAGGAGGGAAAAAAAGAAGGAAGAACUUUAACUCAAACUCAAACAAAAAUAGGUGAUUGCAAUGUUUACCAUGUAAGUCUACUAUAUUGGCUCUUUCCAGAGAAUCUAGGAGAUAAACCUCAUGGGAACAUUUUCUAUGUUAUUCAAGCCUCAUUACCUAUCCAAAAAAACAAAGGAAGAAGAAAGCUUUUCUAGAUGAAAGUGAAUUGUUAAGUUAUAUAGUGUGCCUUGUAGUGAUAGAAAGUGUCAUCUAUGGCACAUAGCUUCCUUGUUUUGCAGCCAAGUGAGCAUAAUACAUAUGCAGAUAUUGAAGCUGUGUAUAAGUGUCAUGUAUCCUGUGAAGCGUAGAUCAUCUGUUUAUCUAUACUAUUAUUUUGAUUGAAAGAUUAUGCAUUUUUUUUUUGGGUCUAAUUAAAUGGUGUUUGUGUUGACUGUGUGCAGAACAUUGACAAAAUCCCAUAUGUUAAUUGUCCUGUGCUGAUUAUUCAUGUAAGUAUGCAAUUUUCAACAUUUUACCUUUUAGAAUUACUUAUGGUAAUUGAAGAACCAUUCUAAUACAGUUUUUAGACAAUUAAGCCAUUGUAUAAGCUAGCAUGAAACUCUUACCUUCUUUAUCUGCCUUGCUUCUUUGUUUCUGUGUUUUUGUGGGUACAUGUAAAUGAU